rnacentral:rRNA from 1 species
UGGGGAAUAUUGCACAAUGGGGGAAAUCCUGAUGCAGCGACGCCGCGUGAGCGAAGAAGGCUUUCGAGUCGUAAAGCUCUGUCCUAUGAGAAGAUAAUGACGGUAUCAUAGGAGGAAGCCCUGGCUAAAUACGUGCCAGCAGCCGCGGUAAUACGUAUGGGGCGAGCGUUGUCCGGAAUUAUUGGGCGUAAAGGGUACGUAGGUGGUUUUUUAAGUCAGGUGUCAAAGCGUGGAGCUUAACUCCAUUAAGCACUUGAAACUGAAAGACUUGAGUGAAGGAGAGGAAAGUGGAAUUCCUAGUGUAGCGGUGAAAUGCGUAGAUAUUAGGAGGAAUACCGGUGGCGAAGGCGACUUUCUGGACUUUUACUGACGCUCAGGUACGAAAGCGUGGGGAGCAAACAAG